CGAGACUCUGUCUCAAUAAACAAAACAAAACAAAGAGCUUUAGAACAGUAAGGAAAGGAAGGAGAAGAAAAGUACAAUGUGGAAGAAGGCCAAGUGGUUGACCUGAGAAACCGAGUGCGCAGCUUGGCCUCUUGACUUGGGGUUUGAUACCUUGGCAUACUUCCAGGAUCUUGGAAGUAAGCUGCUUCCCACUCCGGAGAUCUUACUGGGAAGCUGCUGAUCAGUUGCAGGUGUUUUCUAUUAGGAGACUGCCUUUCCCCCGUACUGGCUGUGACCAAUUACUAAACAGAAACAGUUAACAACCACUUGACCACCACCUGAUGGUCACCCAGCACUCCUAGUGUGUGUGUGUGUGUGUGUGUGUGUGUGUGUGUGUGUGUGUGUGUGUGUGUGUGUUGGGGGGAAGUCCUUUCCUGCCCUGCUCAUACCUAACUAGCUACCUACUGUAAUAAAGCUACCAUUCAGGAACCAAGACAAAAAGGAAAAAAAUACAUUUAACAUUUACAGGUAAAUAAAAGCUGAGAAUGAGCCAAAGAAACUCCCGAAGGAUGUACCUCAAGAAGGAAGAUGAUUCCAGGUCAGCCUAAGAUGCAAGAAGAAGGAAUGAUACCUUAAAGCAAAUGAGAAGACAAGCUAAAUCUGGGAGGAGACAUAUACACAUAUACAUGCAUAAUCAGGAUUGGUAUCAAAAACCCCUAUGAACUAGCAAGAAAAGGAAAAAUGUGCAAAAAAGCCAUGAACCAGCAUUUCACCAAAGAUGAAACAGCUAUGGCCAAAAAUUAUGACAAGAUGCUUAAUUAAGCCCACUGGCUAUUAGGCACGUGGAAGUCAAGACCACAACGAGACAUCAUCUUUCACGCAUUUGAUGGGUAAACAUUAUGAUGUCUGACACUGCUAAAUGUUGGCGAGGACGUGGAUCAACAGGAACUCUCAAAAUUGCUGGCAAAGGAGGGGGCACUGUUUCUAAGAAGAGUGAUGAUACCACCGUAUUUUUGAAAAAUGAUGAAACAGCGUGGGGGAAACUGCUAUGUCUUCCAUAUUCAGGCUUUUUCUUCUCCAAGCCCAUUUCCUCCCUAGCAAUGAUAAGAGGAAACACUCCCGCGCCUGUGGGUGGCGAUGACAUCCCUGCCAUCUAUGAGGUGGAGCAUUUCCAACAAGAGCAGGUCUGAGGCCCUGGCUUGACUUUCCCAGUCCUGUUAAAGAAGAACAUUGGGAUACCCAACUGUUCUAGCACCAUUUAUUGAAAAGUCAACUCUUCCUUCAAUAUUCAGAAAUGUCACCUCUGUCAUAAACCAGGCAGCCACAUGUGUAUUAGACUGCUGUGUCUUCGUUAUUUCUCCAGAGGUUUGCCAAUUUUACUAAUCUCUUCAAAGAUCCAAUUUUGAUUUUUGUUCAUUUUCUUAAUUGUAUGCUUACUAUUUUAUUAGCUUGUGCUUUGGUCUUCCGUAUACUUUUUUUGGGGGGGGGUUGAAUUUACUAUUCUUUUUCUAAGCUCUUUGAAAUGGAUGAUUAGCUCAUUAAUUUUAAGUCUUUACUCUUUUCUAUUAUAUGCUAUAUAUUUUCCUGUAAGUAUUAACUUUAGAAAAAUUUCCUACCAGCUUUGAUAUAUAUGAUAUUUUCAUUAUUAUUCACUUCAAAAUGUUUUUAGUUUUUAAUUGUAACUUCUCUGUGAUAUAAAGAAGUAUGACUUUAAAUUUUCCACAUUAUGGGGAUUUCCUAGUUUUUUUUUUAUUGAUUUUAGCUUAAUUAUAUUGUGGUCAGAUCAACAUUACAUGAAUUAGAAAUUUAUCAAGAUUUGUUUUAGGCUCAGAAUAUGAGCCAAAUUUGUAAAUGUUCUGCUUGAAACAUGUAUCUUACAACAAUUGUGUGCAGUAUUCUACAUAUGCUCAUUAAGUCUAGUUUAUUAACAGAGUUCUUCAAAUCUUUUAUACCCUUUUGUCUCGUUUUUAAAAUUAAACUGAAAACGGUGUCUUAAAAUCUUCUAUUAUGGCUGUUGAUUCUUCCAUAGUCCUAUUAAGUUUUGCUUAUAUAUUUUGAGAUUAUGUUGUAGGCACAAAUUUAAUAUUGUUAUGUCUUCCUAGGAACUUUUGCUAUCUUUUCCUCUGGUUUUUGCCUUAAAGUUUAUUUUGUCUUUCAUGAAUAUAAAUACUUACAUCUGCCUUUGUGUGUGUGUGUGUGUGUGUGUGUGUGUUUGUUAGAUUCAGGGAGUACAUGUACUUGUUUGCUACAUGGGUAUUACACGUGUAAUGGUGCAAUUGGGCCUCUGGUAUACCCAUCAUUCAAAUAUUGGACACUGUACCCCAUAGGUGAUUUUUCAACUUUCUCUUCACUAGUAUUUUUACCUUAUUACUUUAAACUUUAUUCUUAUGCUUUAAAUGUAUCUCUUCUUUUGUAAACACCAUAAUUCCCCUCCCCCCAUUCCAAAUCAAGUCUGAAAUUCUUUGCCUUUUAACAGGAGCAUUUAGUUCAUUUACAUUUAAUGUAUAUGUAAAUGUAAAUACAGUGUAUACUUUGUAAAUGUUUAGAAUUAAAUCUAUUACUUUAGCUUAUCUGCUUAUUCAUUCUAUUCUUUUUCUCUUCUGUCUGGACUUAAAAAAUGAUCUGCAUAUAUUUUAUCAUUUAAUUUUGUCCCUUAGCUUGUUUGAAAUGACAUACUGUUUCUAUUCCUUUAGUGCAGGGAUUAGAGACCUUUUCUCUGUAAAGGGCCAGAUAAUAUAUAUUUUAUGGUUUGUGGACCACAGUCAGUGGGUUUUUUUAGGGUCUGUGGGCCGAAGUCAGAUUUUUUAUAGCCAUUUAAAAAUCUAGAAACCAUCCUUAGCUUGCAGGCUAUAUAAAAACAGGCUGAAAUCUGUAUUUAGCCCAUGGGCCAUAGUGUGUAACCUCUUCUAGUGUUCACUCUAGAAAUUAUAACAUGCACACUUAACUUAUCAAAGCCUACAAUUAAUGAAAACCUUUACCCCUCUGGACAACACAUUGAUAUUAGAACAUUUUGAGUCUAUUGCCUUCCUAACCCCAAUUCCUAUGUUAUGUUGUCUGGUAUUUACAUUU
rnacentral:lncRNA from 1 species